CCUACGGGGUGCAGCAGUGGGGGAUAUUGCACAAUGGGGGGAACCCUGAUGCAGCGACGCCGCGUGGGUGAAGGAGCGUUUCGGCGCGUAAAGCCCUAUCGGCAGGGAAGAAGAUGACGGUACCUGACCAAGAAGCCCCGGCUAACUACGUGCCAGCAGCCGCGGUAAUACGUAGGGGGCAAGCGUUAUCCGGAUUUAUUGGGGUAAAAGGGUGCGGAGGGGGUCUGUUAAGUAAGCGGGAAAAGCCCGGGGCCAAACCCCGGUCCGCCGUUGAAACUGGCAGUCUCGAGUUGGAGAGAGGUAUGCGGAAUGCGCGGUGUAGCGGUGAAAUGCAUAGAUAUCGCGCAGAACUCCGAUUGCGAAGGCAGCAUGCCGGCUCCACACUGACGCUGAGGCACGAAAGCGUGGGUAUCGAACAGGAUUAGAUACCCUUGUAGUC
rnacentral:rRNA from 1 species